GACGAACGCUGGCGGCGUGCCUAAUACAUGCAAGUCGAACGCAGUGGGGACGGGUGAGUAACACGUGGGUAAACUCACAUAAGAGGGGAGAACACUUGGAAACAGGUGCUAAACCGAUACUGAUGGAUGGACCCGCGGUGCAUUAGCUAGUUGGUGAGGUAACGGCUCACCAAGGCCACGAUGAAUAGCCGGCCUUAGAGGGUGAUCGGUCACCCUUGGCCUGAGACACGGCCCAGACUCCUACGGGAGGCAGCAGUGGGGAAUCUUCGGCAAUGGACGAAAGUCUGACCGAGCCACGCCGCGUGAGUGAAGAAGGUUUUCGGAUCGUAAAACUCUUUUGUUAGAGAAGCGGUAUCUAACCAGAAAGCCCCGGCUAACUACGUGCCAGCAGCCGCGGUAAUAC
rnacentral:rRNA from 1 species